rnacentral:rRNA from 1 species
UGGGGAAUUUUCUGCAAUGGGCGCAAGCCUGACAGAGCAAUACCGCGUGAGGGAUGACAGCUCUAUGAGUUGUAAACCUCUUUUUUCAGGGAGGAAGUUCUGACGUUACCUGAAGAAUAAGCAUCGGCUAACUCCGUG